AUCUCUGUAGCGCAAUGGAUAGCACAUUGGACUUCUAAUAAAAAGGUCGUGCGUUCGAAUCGCACCUGGGAUG